rnacentral:rRNA from 2 species
AGGUCAAGCUACAAAGGGCGCAUGGUGAAUGCCUUGGCACUAGGAGCCGAAGAAGGACGCGAUAAGCU